rnacentral:misc_RNA from 1 species
GCAAACUUGGUCAUUUAGAGGAAGUAAAAGUCGUAACAAGGUUUCCGUAGGUGAACCUGCGGAAGGAUCAUUAUCGAAUCCUAAAGGAUGUUGCUGGCCUUUCGGGGCAUGUGCACUCCGCCUUAUUAUCCACCUGUGAACCUAUUGUAGGCCCGUAGAUGUAAAAAGUUUAUGGGUCUAUGUUUUCACUUACACGCUUUAUAAAAAAAACUAUCAGAAUGUCUUUACGAGUAGACCUUGAUUGGUCGAAAAUAAAAUAAUACAACUUUCAACAAUGGAUCUCUUGGCUCUCGCAUCGAUGAAGAACGCAGC